rnacentral:rRNA from 1 species
GACGAACGCUGGCGGCGUGCUUAACACAUGCAAGUCGAACGGAAAGGCCCUGCUUUUGUGGGGUUCUCGAGUGGCGAACGGGUGAGUAACACGUGAGUAACCUGCCCUUGACUUUGGGAUAACUUCAGGAAACUGGGGCUAAUACCGGAUAGGAGCUCCUGCUGCAUGGUGGGGGUUGGAAAGUUUCGGCGGUUGGGGAUAGACUCGCGGCUUAUCAGCUUGUUGGUGGGGUAGUGGCUUACCAAGGCUUUGACGGGUAGCCGGCCUGAGAGGGUGACCGGCCACAUUGGGACUAAGAUACGGACCAGACUCCUACGGGAGGCAGCAGUGGGGAAUCUUGCACAAUGGGCGGAAGCCUGAUGCAGCAACGCCGCGUGCGGGAUGACGGCCUUCGGGUUGUAAACCGCUUUCGCCUGUGACGAAGCGUGAGUGACGGUAAUGGGUAAAGAAGCAACGGCUAACUACGUG